UAGCUUGGAGGGUAGAGCGUCUGCCUUGUAAGCGCUAGGUCGCGGGUUCGAUUCCCGC
rnacentral:tRNA from 1 species